rnacentral:rRNA from 1 species
UACGUAGGGACCAAGCGUUGUUCGGAUUUACUGGGCGUAAAGAGCUCGUAGGCGGUUCGUCGCGUCGGCUGUGAAAUCCCGAGGCUCAACCUCGGGUCUGCAGUCGAUACGGGCGGACUGGAGUUCGGGCAGGGGAGACUGGAAUUCCUGGUGUAGCGGUGAAAUGCGCAGAUAUCAGGAGGAACACCGGUGGCGAAGGCGGGUCUCUGGGCCGUAACUGACGCUGGAGGAGCGAAAGCGUGGGAGCGAACAGG